AGGGCACCACCAGGAGUGGAGCCUGCGGCUUAAUUUGACUCAACACGGGAAAACUCACCCGGCCCGGACACUGGAAGGAUUGACAGAUUGAGAGCUCUUUCUUGAUUCAGUGGGUGGUGGUGCAUGGCCGUUCUUAGUUGGUGGAGUGACUUGUCUGGUUAAUUCCGAUAACGAACGAGACUCUAGCCUAUUAAAUAGAUCGUUGGCUUACAAACGCCGGCGAGACUUCUUAGAGGGACAGGCGGCGAUUCAGCCGCACGAAACAGAGCAAUAACAGGUCUGUGAUGCCCUUAGAUGUCCGGGGCCGCACGCGCGCUACACUGAAGUGAUCAGCGUGCAUUUUGAAACCUACUCUGUCAAGAGUGGGGAACCCAAUGAACCUUCUUCGUGAUUGGGAUAGGGGAUUGUAAUUAUUCCCCUUGAACGAGGAAUUCCCAGUAAGCGCGAAUCAUAAGUUUGCGCUGAUUACGUCCCUGCCCUUUGUACACACCGCCCGUCGCUACUACCGAUUGAAUGUUU
rnacentral:rRNA from 1 species